UCCAUUUGAUUUUAUUUCUUCUUUUUCCAGAGAACUUGGCUGCUUGGUCUUUUAGCUUAACCCUUUGUGGAUACUUUUGGUUUUGCAUUUCCAGGGCAUUGAGACUAAAUGUUUUCCGUUUCUGUCUCCUUGCUAUAAGCAGCAUUAUAACUGAGAAUUUUGUUUUUUCUUUUUAAUCCCAACUAGAAAUGAGUUCAAGCUUCAAAGAUCAGAUCAUAAUCUGUGUUCCCCAGAAGUCAGUGCUUAACCUGAAUAAUUUGGAAACAUCUGAUCUGCAGAGGAAGCAGAGAGCCAUAGCAUCAAGAGAUAUAGCCCCUUAUAGACGUGAAGUUAAUGACAUCUACCAAAGUCCUGGCUCGUGUCAUCAGCAGCAAGGCUUACAUUGCUUUCUGAUUGGUUGAAAAUGGAACUUCUUACAGGUAACUUCUGCCAAUACCCAGAGGGCCCUGCAGGUAAAAUCCUGGUUUUCCCUACUGACCACUACCUAGAUGAGCUCAUUAGAACAGCUGUGCUGGAGCUAACGUCUUGCAUUCUUGGAAUUUUUUUUCUUACAAGUGCACUAACAGUCCUAUUAGAGACAUGUGAUGCCUCAGUCGUUCUGGUGCUAAUGUUUUUGGGUUAAAUUGUAUUGCUGCAGCUUCAUUUCACAGUGCUGUAGUGUAGCCCGAUUUAAAAUCUGCAAGGCAAAACAAAACUGUGGCACUGUAGUUCCAAUAACUGUCAGCUGGAUGAGCUCACAACUGUUAGUAGAAAUUAAUGGGAAGGGCAGGGGUAUGUGGAACAUCUAGUCUGUUGUAAUCUAAAGCUUUGGAAUUUAGUAAGCUUUUUUUGGAUUAGUAGAUGCUUUAUACAGGAGAACUAGUUUUCAUCCAGAGGCUUACUCUACAGGGAUGGACUGUGUCUAUGUGGGUAAUCAUAUCAUAAAGUCUGUUUCCUCCAGCAUUCCUGUAGAUGAUUCGCCUUCCCAGAUGGGUUCUAACCAAUUUGUACAGGUAUUUGUAAUAAGCUGUCUUCAGGCAAGGCAAAACAUCAUCAAGCUUUUGCAAAUGGCAGUGCAAAACAGCUGUGGAUGCUACCAAAUCAGUGUGACUGAUGAUCUCACUUCUACCAAAGUCAAGAAAAAUGCUCCUGUUGACCUCCCUGUGCACACAAGCCUGCAGUGACCAACACCAGAUUUUAUUUGUAUGGAUCCACCAGAAAUGUCAGGACAGGAAUUCCUGUCUUAAGUCGACUGACCCCCGAGGAGUACUGAAGGACUGACAGGACUCUGAAAUGACAAGUGCAAACCCAAAGCUGCAGUUUUUUCUCAGCAAAACAGAAGUGCGGUGAGGAAGCAAUACCGCGUGCCCUUCCGCAGGGCUGAGCAGUGGGAGAGGAGGAGAAG